rnacentral:rRNA from 1 species
AGUCGAACGAGAAAGUGGAGCAAUCCAUGAGUAAAGUGGCGACCGGGUGAGUAACACGUGACUAACCUACCUUUUAGUGGGGAAUAACUCCGGGAAACCGGGGCUAAUACCGCAUAACAUCGCGAGAUCAAAGCAGCAAUGCGCUGGAAGAGGGGGUCGCGGCUGAUUAGCUAGUUGGUGGGGUAACGGCUCACCAAGGCGAAGAUCGGUAUCCGGCCUGAGAGGGCGCACGGCACACACUGGAACUGAAACACGGGCCAGACUCCUACGGGAGGCA